CAGUAGCACGGUAAUACGUAGGGUGCGAGCGUUAAUCGGAAUUAUUGGGCGUAAAGGGCGCGUAGGCGGUUUGGCAAGUUUGGUGUGAAAUCUUCGGGCUCAACUCGAAGUCUGCAUCGAAAACUGCCGGGCUUGAGUAUGGUAGAGGUGAGUGGAAUUUCCGGUGUAGCGGUGAAAUGCGUAGAUAUCGGAAGGAACACCUGUGGCGAAAGCGGCUCACUGGACCAUUACUGACGCUGAGGCGCGAAAGCUAGGGGAGCAAACAGGAUUAGAUACCCGUGUAGUCCCUGUCUCUUAUACA
rnacentral:rRNA from 1 species